AGCACCGGUGAUGGCAGGCGUGUGAGAGGGAAGUGGGGGUGAGCCAGCCCUGUGGGCCUCUAGGCCCAGCUUCUGGGUAUCCUGGCCCCCUGGAAUGACCCAGGGCAGGAGCCUCUGACACCCGCCCCAAAUGCCUGUGACCCCGUCCUGAGUGGGGGUCCUCCUUCUGGCCGUGACCGCCCUGGAGUGGCUUCUCAGCAUUUUGUGGUCAGCACUCUCAGCCCCUCUGCCUUGCACCGUGUCAUUUUCAGCAGAUCCUGAGCCAGAGAAGGCCAUCAAUUAUUCAGCUCCUGCCUCUCAGCCUCCUCCGUUAGUACCUCUUAAAGCCGGGAAGAUAAAUCUCUCCGCUUGCUCCGUGGCGCCGACAGGAAGCAGGGCGGCACCAGGACCGUGACAGGCCCCGGCUGGGCCCCGGUUUCCCGAGCCAGCACAGGCGGCCUGCAAGGCUUCUCUGCUAUUAAAUCCAUAAUUCAGCGGCAACGCAGCUGGGGCCUGGCACACAGGGUCCCUGUGAUGAGGAGGGGCUGCCCCUGCCGGAAUGCACCAGAGGCUGCCACCAGGGAGAGAGUUACAAGGACCACUUCCGUGGACCUGGCAGGUCCUAGGGCCCCCUUUAAAAUUGUGCCUGGGGAGAGUCCCUGGCGCUGCUCCGGAGGAUCAUGGAGCCCGACUCUACUCACAGGGGAGACCACACAGCUUCUGCGGGGCAAGACAGCUGAGGAGCAUGUCAGGAACUUAUCUGAAGCAGCAACACCAAGGGCAAUGUGAGUGAACUGCAGACAAGGCAACCCGGACGCCAUGGGACACGCCACAGAGCAGGCUGCCUUGUCCCCACUCUGCCUACAUGUGAGACCCACCAGACUCACAGUGAACACAUCCCAGCCCCUCCGGCCGGGCACCACGGAAGGCCCUCCCUCCUCCACUGAGGGCAGGGAUCACAGGGCCAGGUUUUUGUCAUCGGACAAGGGGUGUCCCAAGUCAUGAGAUGCUUAACCCAUGAAUGCCCCCUCUUGGAGUCUAUGCUAAUUAAACACGUAGAGGGGCGGACUUCACUCUGCCAGCUCAGAUAAUGACCACAGCAUAUUUAUAACCACAAAGAGGUGGAAACAGCUACACUAUCCAACAGUGGGGAAAUGUUUAAGUCAAUGCUGGGAGAGUAACACCAUGGACCAGCCCCGAAGAGACAUCUGUGGUGAGUGAAAUGCACGCCAUACAAGCCCAGAGAGACUGUGAACUUGGAAGAAAGAAUAGGUGCACACAAUAAGACUGGGAGGAAAUGAACAAACUAUCAUCGGCCAUGAGGUUCUCCUUUACUUACAAUAAGUAUAUGCAGCACAGACAUGAGAAAGGCAUUCCUGGAGUGUGAAGCCCAGGGCAAGAGGAUGCGGGUGUCCUGAGCAAGCAAUAAUGCCAGCACCUUCUGCAAGGAGCUCUGCUGGGCCACCUCUUGGGCAACAAACCAUCCUGGGACAUCUUGCAGACAAGGAAACAGGCUUCAGGAGGCAAUGGUGCCUCUUGAAGGGCAGGGCACACAGCCACAGGGCCACCUUCUGCAUGGCUCCCACCGCAGCUGAGUCUCCAAGGAAGCUGGGUUUUUACAGGGGCAGGUCCUCAAGGUGGAUACCCCUUUGCUAAAGGCUCUGCCCCAGCAACCCACAAGCAGCCACUUGCCCUGGGCUCCAGGCGGCUGCCCUCCCCUUGCUGUCCUCUGGACUGUUUAGUAUGCAGAAGGACCAGCCCUGCAAGGCCACCAUAAAUCCUGCCCCUGUCCUACAGCAGAUCAAUUGCCAAUCGGCUCCAAAUCCCCUAGAUGUCUCAGCAGCUUGGCCCAGCUGUAGGAGCCACGGCCAUGGUUGGCUCUAGAUGCUGCUGGCUAUAUAUAUUGAACUUGAAGCAUCGGAUUACAUGUUUGUUCAAUAGCAAUAAACUCCCAAAGUUUUAUGGGGUCAUAAAACCGCUGUCUCGGCUCCCACUUAGGUGGUAUGUAAUGUACACAGGCUGGUUUCCCCGCUAAUGGGGCGGUGCAAGUGAUUUGGGGCUAUUAGCUGGAAACAUCACAUCUGCAUUUCCCAAAUUCUCAUAAAUAAGGUGGCCCCACCAGAGUGCACC
rnacentral:lncRNA from 10 species